rnacentral:rRNA from 1 species
AGGAUGAACGCUGGCGGCGUGCCUAACACAUGCAAGUCGAACGUCCUGUCUCGCAAGAGGCAGGGAGUGGCGGACGGGUGAGUACCACGUGGGUCAUCUACCGUGAGGUGAGGAAUACCGGCGAGAAAUCGCCGACAAGACCGCAUAGGCUCGAUGCAAGUCGAGCAAAGCUCUUUCGAGAGAGGGAGCGCCACACGAGGAGCCUGCGCCCGAUUAGCUAGCUGGUGGAGUAACGGUUCACCAGGGCGACGAUCGGUAGCUGGUCUGAGAGGACGAUCAGCCACACUGGGAUUGAGAACGGCCCAGACUCCUACGGGGGGCAGCAGUGAGGAAUUUUCGUCAAUGGGGGCAACCCUGAACGAGCAACGCCGCGUGCAGGAAGAAGGUUUUCGGAUCGUAAACUGCUUUUCUCGGGAAGAGAACGGACGGUACCCGAGGAAUCAGCCCCGGCUAACUACGUGCCAGCAGCCGC